GACUCUCCCAGCUGCAGGCCCCUUCCAGAUGUGGCUCAGCCAUAUUUUCUGCAGGAAGCCCCAGCCCACGACGGAGGGAGGCACGGGUACUAGGGCCUGGCCCAUUCUGCCCAGCACACAGCUCCUCCACGAUUAGGAAUUGUCAGACCUGCACCGUGGUCGGAGCCUCACCCCAGCCAAUCCUGAUUCCUGCCCCUUUCAUCCUGCAGAAGCAGUACUGCCAUGACCCUCCUCUGCUCCUCACCCAUCUCAGCAUCUGCUUUCUGGAGGAUCCAAUAGACACAGCCUAUCUAUUCUCAGUUUCCACUUAGAAAAACCUCUCAUCACACUUCUAUAUAAAAACUGUGAGACUGAUACAAAUAGAAUUUCCCAAAGCAUGUACCAAAAUGAAUUAAUGAAGAGACGCUGUUUUGCCUCUACAAAUGUCUUUUUGAUAAACAUUACCACAUUUGUUUUCCCCUGCCCCGAGACUGUUUGCUCAGGGAUCCAUCUUUUAAAACUGCUCAGGUUUUCACAUUUGCAAGCCAGGGAGUGAUCCAACUGCAGGAAGGAGCUCUCCAUGGUGGAUGCCUACCACAGACACAGUGGGAUAUUUUGGUGGAUUUUUAUGAGAAAAGCUUUUCUUUUCUAAUAAUUCUUUGCGCUAUUAUACUGUAGAGUUGGUCACCUCAUGGAAGUAAGGAAGCAAAGGAAGAAGAUUCACACUGAACAGCUGGUUUUAGAUGUGGAUGUUAACAUUACCGUAAGUGGAACUGGGUUUUGGAACUGCUGAGUGAGUAUUCUAGUGGUUAUAUAGCCACUGCUACAAAUUCCUGUAACAGCUUUCACUAAAGGGAGAGCCAAGGAAUGUGUAAACCAACGAAUGAUGGAAAUAAAGGCUCAUAUAACAUUGGCUUAGUGAAUUCCAUGGCUGAGAGGAACACAACAAACUAAGGUGUUUAACCUCCAAAACAGUGGUGAGACGUUUCAACUUUUCCAAACGAAAGGGAAGCAGCAGUUUUUUAUGGUGAAUUGAUGUGCUAUUUCAUUGUUGUUUUUGGUUUUUUAAUGUUUCUGCCUUGAUUUUUAAAAUUGUGGAUCAUGAAAACACUCUGGAACAAACAUGUUACCACAGGUAUACUAGGAAUACUAGGAAUACUAGGAAGGACCAAGUGAUAAUCUAAUAAACAACAACAAAGACUAGAUACCCGAUGCUUAUGUGAACGGGGUCUAGCUAGCUUAGAACUCUACCUAGAAGAGACAAAAUGUUCAGUACCUUGACUUUAGCAGUACAUCCCGAAAGUCGAAAAAUUCCUUCAGAUUCCAGACCUGAUUCCUCAACUUUCUCAAAAAACUAGAAAGCAAUGAUAUAUUACAAGAAUAAGUGCCUCUGUGAUCAUAAACAUAUAAAACAGUAACAAUGAUGACAUGAAUCAAUAAGUGACCAAGCAUAUACGUGCCUGACGCUUGAAUGCUGUUAAAUGUUCAUAACCAUCCUAUGCUGCCAACAUUAUCCUCCAACAUGCAAAUGAGAAAGUAGAGAUUUAUAGUAGUUAUACAACUUUCCCGAGAUCAACCUUGUAAGUAAUGGCGCCGACUCGUUUGUGCUCUUAACCACCUCUAAAAUUACAUACGCCUCUUAACCAUUUUUAAGAUCUGAUUACUAUAACUCUUUCUGCAGACUGAUCAGUAACAAGAGAUUCUAAAUCUACUGUCAUUGGUUGCAAUCACUCUGACUAAGAAACGGUAGGAAUUCUAGAUGUCUGAUCAAGGAGUUUAGACGGGGUAAAGAUUAAUAGCUUUCACGAGUUCUAAGGCUGGUGAUGGGUGUUAAAAAAGUAAUAAACACUACCAUGUACUGUGCACUGAUUAUGUGUAAGAUCCUAUUCUCAGUCCUUUACCUACAUUAACGCAUCUAAUCCUCACAAUAACCCUAUGAGGUAGGUACUCUCGUUACCCCUAUUCUACUGUUAAGGAGUCUAAGGAAAACAGUUCAAUUCGCUGUAAUAAAGCAGCUCACAGUGCAUCUCUGGAAAGGAUAAUAACUUGGCCAAGUUCACCCAGUAAGAAGGGGAUCCAGCGUCUCUGCUAUUUUCCUUUCAAGAAAUGAUGGUGGAUGGUGCCUGGAACUAAGGUAAUUCUUUUAGGUACGGAGACAAAUAGAUAUUUAGGAAGAAGAAACAUGUCUGUAAGAAAAGCCUGUCUUGUAGGAGCGGGAGAGUACUAUCUUGAGGUGCCGUAGUGAGGAACACUUAACAUCCAGUAGUAAUAACAACUAACAUGUUGCUAAUAUGAUAUAAAUCCAGAUUUAGUUCAACUAGCACUUAUUGAGUACUUUCUAUUUGCUAAGUUCUAUGCUAGAUGUUUGUACCUACACAGUAUUAUAAACUCAUGUGCUGAAUCGUCUUUGAUUUUGAUGAAUAUUUUAAACUCUGUCCUUCACAUACAGGACAAAAUGCUGGUUUUAAUGAAGGAAAGAAAAUCUCAGCGUCACCAUGGACUCUGGACUUUGCUAUACGCUCUGCUCCUGUUCCCACUCCACCUCUUGCUGACUGUGUGUCCUGGUUGAAUUCCAAAGGCAUCAAAAAAGGCAGUCAAUUCAAUGAGAGAGAGAUGGCGGAUUUUCUUCAUGUCUUCAGCAGACAGAUCUCCUGCUUCAGUUAAGCCGAAUCUGGUUUUCUGAACAAUAAAUUUCUAAAACACACA